AGCACCGAAUCCCGCGGCCGAUACCGGGCGCCGGGAAAUGUGGUGUUAGGGAGGAUCCGUUUAUCCCGAGGUCGUGCGGUGCGUCCAAGUCCUUCUUGAACGGGGCCACAGCCCAUAGAGGGUGCCAGGCCCGUAGCGACCGCUGCCGAUCGCGGGAGGAUCUCUCCUCAGAGUCGGGUUGCUUGAGAGUGCAGCCCUAAGUGGGUGGUAAACUCCAUCUAAGGCUAAAUAUGACCACGAGACCGAUAGCGAACAAGUACCGUGAGGGAAAGUUGAAAAGCACUUUGAAGAGAGAGUUCAAGAGUACGUGAAACCGUUCAGGGGUAAACCUGAGAAACCCGAAAGGUCGAAAGGGGAAAUUCAUUCGCGUCUCGACCGUCGGAGCGGAGCGUUCGUGCGACGGACGGCGUACGCGUCGUCCGCGCCUUUCGUUCCGCGAUCCGGCGUCGAACGCGUGCACUUUUCCCCUAGUAGGACGUCGCGAUCCGUUGGGUGUCGGUCUAAGGCUCGCGGUGGAGCCCGAGCGUGCGUCUUCGGACGUUCGCGCUCGGACCCGCGGUGUCCCGGCCGACCCGCUCGACGGUAUACAGAUGGCGCGGGGCCGCAAAUUCAAUUUGCGUUCGGCCCGCGGCAAGCGCGUACGGUGUUGACGGCGAUCGGACCUGGUGCCGAUCCCGUCCCCGGACGACUGUUGGCCGCGGUGCUCUCGAACAGACCUCGUUCUCGAAACGCCGAUCUGCGACGCUAUAGCUUUGGGUACUUUCAGGACCCGUCUUGAAACACGGACCAAGGAGUCUAGCAUGUGCGCGAGUCAUUGGGACAUAACUAAACCUAAAGGCGCAAUGAAAGUGAAGGUCCGCCUCGCGCGGACCGAGGGAGGAUGGGCGGUUCGUACUUCGUGCGGCCGCUCCGCACUCCCGGGGCGUCUCGUUCUCAUCGCGAGAAGAGGCGCACCAAGAGCGUACACGCUGGGACCCGAAAGAUGGUGAACUAUGCCUGGUCAGGACGAAGUCAGGGGAAACCCUGAUGGAGGUCC
rnacentral:rRNA from 1 species